rnacentral:tRNA from 1 species
CAUUAGAUGACUGAAAGCAAGUGUUGGUCUCUUAAACCAUAUUAUAGUAAAUUAGUGUUUACUUCUAAUGA